rnacentral:misc_RNA from 1 species
GUUUCGAGUUAAAAAAAAAAGAAAAAAAAGAAUCCCUCUGCAUUCAAGAGUAGCUGGAUAGAUGGAAGCAUUACCCACAUACUAAGUAAUAUACGGUGUAAUAGCUUUUUACUACAGAAUUUAAUUUCAGACAUCGCAAAAGAAAAUCCACAGAAGUUGUCAUAAAUAUGAAAACCACGAUCUCCCAAUGUGAAUCAUCUACAGAUGCACUUGACACAUUACACUUUCCCUCAGUUUAUUGAGGAAAUUUAGAGAUUUAUUUUGUAUUUUAACAGUAAGCUCCCCCACAAAGAAGACUAAAUUGUGUGCCGUAAUAACUACAAAUCAGUUCCAGAAGCGUUUUGUCCCUUGACUGAAGAAGACAGAGGAGGAAGAUUAUUAAAACUGGUGGUUAGCAGUGCCCUCUGGAGAGUUAUUUCCCUUACAAGCCAAGAUGGCAGGCAUUAGCCCAGAGCUGGCAUCUCUGAUGAAAAAAGGGAAAUCUGCCAUAGCUGCCCACUUUAAGACAGCAUUUGCCGAGGAUAAAUUGUUAAACGAGUUAUUGAACACAGUGUUCAACCCAGAAAAGGCAAUUGAUGACUAUGAAAAUCUUGAAUGGUAUCGUUUCCUGAUCGCUGGUGGUAAAAAGUUCGAGGAUUAUGCAAACCUAGUGCGUAUUUAUGACAAUGCGACAACAUGUGGCCUUGUGUGGACUGCAAAUUUUGUGGCCUAUAGGUGUCGUACAUGUGGUAUAACACCAUGCAUGUCACUCUGCUCCAAGUGUUUUCAGGCUGGAAAUCACGAAGGACACGACUACAACAUGUUCCGUAGCAAGGCUGGAGGAGCUUGUGAUUGUGGAGAUGCAAGUGUAAUGAAUCCUGCUGGGUUUUGCUCCCGACACCUUCCUGGACCUAACCGAUACCAGUUGGUUCCACCACGUGAAGUGAUGGCACUACCAGAAGUAGUCAUGCCACGACUAUUUAUCCGCCUGCUAUACCACUUAAGAGAAUUUGCUAAAGUAGAGGCUGCCGAUAUCAGUCAGAUAGCAAUGCAAGAUGCAGACUCUUAUUUAAGUUUCCUGCACAGUCUUUGUGAGAUGGGUGCUGUCAUGAUGAAGCAGAUGGGCAAAACUCUUACUGAUCCUGUAAUCUAUGAGAAAUUCACUCAGAGUGAAGGUUGCUACCACUCAGAAAGCCAGAAAAAUUAUUUACAGGCUGUGAAAGAGAUGACUUAUCCUCCAUCAUUUGAUGUCUUUAGCAACAAAAUCUGUUUGGACCAGAAACUACUGCACACCACAAUCUUGGAUGAAUUAGUCUUUUGGAUGGUCAAGUUGGAAUUACCACAGAAGAUUGUUACGUUAUUACUAAGUCUUCUGCCAGAUGAUCAUUACAAGCAAGCCUUUACAAAGGCUUUUGUGCAGCACUACAGUCGAGUAUCAUUGGUUGUGGUCAAGUCUAAAGACCACUAUGCAGUAGCACAUCGUGUGGUCCACAUCAGUGUUCAGUUGUUCAGCAAUGAAACGUUAGCAAGGACCAUGUGCAAAGACUACAACCUGCUCUACAUCCUUGUCUUCAGUCUACGCCACAUGGUGGAAUCUGUUUUCAUGCAGAGUACAUUACAGAACAAUUUCAAGAACUUCCAUAAUGUCGUAGACUGUGAUUCUAAAGCCAUGAAAGAUCAUUGUUAUUGGCCAAUUGUUAGUGAUUUGAUCAACUUGUUGUCUCAUCAUACCAUUGCCUUGCAAUUUAUGGAAAAUGUUAACUUGGUUAAUACAUGGCUUUGCUUGCUUGUUUAUUUCCAAGGUUGUAAUUUAAAUGAACGAGAACUUACUCAGCAUGUUGAAUUUGAGCCAGACACGUAUUAUGCUGCUUUUUCUGCUGAACUUGAAAUCUCGGCAUCUCCAAUGUCGUAUUUGAUCUCUCAUUGUAAGGACAGUAAAACUGCCCAUUGUACAAAAGCAAUAGUCGCUGCUUGUCUGGAAACUCUUGAAGAUUGGUUUGAGUCGAUUAAUUUUGAUGCAAAUAAAGGCGACAAGACAAGUUACCUGCAGCUGGCUUUCCACCUGCCUCUUCAUCGUUACCUAGCUGUAUUCUUGGCUUAUGCUGUCCAACAUCAAGCUGUACCUAUCACACAAAUGUUACCUUCUUAUUCAAAGCUGAAGAACUUGUUGAUGUUUCCACUGCGAAUUCAGGCUGGAAUUGCUGAAAUCAAUGCUAAUUUAUGGCUAAGAAAUGGUCUGCAGAUCAAAGGACAGGCAAUGACUUAUGUUCAGUGCCAUUUCUGCUAUUCUAUGUUAGAUGCUGAUCUUUACCUGAUACAGGUGUGUGCAGCCCAUCUCCCACCUAACGAGUUUGUGAGAAUUGUUAUCGAGAGCUUUCAUCUUACAAACUGGCUCUUGUUAUGCCCUAAACCAAUCAAAAUUGGUUGUAUAUUGGAAUCCGAACAAGAACUGGCAUUAGUGGAGAGUGCCUUAUCUUUCCUAGCUAUGUUGCAGUCCGUACGCACCUAUCUGGGUAUCAGUGAGAAGGAGUUAGUCCGUGUUGAGAUGGUGGCUUUGCUUUGUGUUAAUGACCGCACACACAGCCAGUUGAUGGAUUCAAUGCCAGAGAAGUCUGGAUUAGCUGUUCAUGAGAAAUGUUACUUUGAGUCUACCUUGAAAGCAGUGGCAGACUACAAAGCACCAGUUCUUGAAUCUGGAGGAGGUUUACAGCAAGGAACCUAUAUGCCAAAAGGUUUUCUUUGGGAUCAAGAAUUUGACCCUAUCCAAGUGUCAACUCGAGCUGUCUACAAAAGAGACAUUCAGUCUGCCAUGGACCGGUACCAUGCCUAUCUUAAGCAAUCUGGGAAAUACACAGGUAAAAGCACCCCAUGGCCACCGAUAAAGAUUCCUGGUAAGAUUCUGCCAGCUUAUGAUGGUCUCAGAAGAAUGUUACAUUGCAGAACACUGCAUGGUUUUAUCUUCUCUGUUUUGUACAAGGCUAUGAAGGAAACCCAUAUCUCUGAGACUAUUCUCUACUUUUGUGUCUUCCUCUUGGAACUGGGCACCAGAUUUCCUGCAACUGAAAUUCAGGAAUAUCGCUGCAAGAAACAGGUCAAAGAUGGUGACUAUGAAAAUUGGUUCCCCACUGACUGUCUGCAGACAAAUGCAGCUCACAGAAUUCAAGAGAUACUCAUUUCUGAUUUCUCAAAUCCAGAUAAAGAUCCCAGUCCUAUGUCUUUUGUUGCAAAUAUAUUUUCUAAAGACUUUGGUGCUGCCUCAAAAUUAUUCACUACCACGAAUCCUAACUGUUCAAAUUCCUCUAAUAAUGUGGAUGAUGAAGCCAGUGGCCAGAUGCACAUUAAUUGUGAUUCUAAGGAUGAAGUCGAAGAGAAAGAUGAUACCUGUAGACGAGAGAUUGUGAAAGAAAGUCUGAUCUCGUUACUGAUGAAACUCCAUUGUAAGUUGUCUGCUAAGAAACAACCUUCUUACAUCCCCACCUCAAUGAGGAAGUGUUCAGAACGGUCAUCAGCGGACCAAAGUAAUCCUUCUGCAAACUGCGGUGAUGGACCUUACUAUAUUGGUCUCUUAUUGGACCGACUUGCAUCACAGGACUAUUCCUGUUUACAAGAAACAGAAAGAAUUUACCAUGAAACAAAACCUAAAGUGAGAGAGAAACAACAGCCGCAAGAAAGAGGCACAGCAACAUCAGAAGAUCUCGAAAAAGAGGAAAGACGGAAGAAGGCACGGGAACGGCAGCAGAAAUUAAUGGCAGAGUUUGCUUCCAAACAGAAAGCUUUCAUGGAACAAGCAAUGGACAUGGAUGAUAUCAGUGAAGAUGUCCAAGAUAAUGGUGAGCAGUCAGUGUUAGAAGAUGGUUUCCAUUGUGCCAUAUGCAGUCAGACUAUGCCAAGUACUUCAGAACGUCCUUUUGGCAUUGUGGUUCUGCUAUUGUCCACUAGUGUUCUUGGUCAUUGUCCAAGUCAAGAACAACGGCGACAUUUGCCAGUUGGGAAGAUGAAGUUCAAACGUGUACCGUUGUCUUGUGCAGAUAUUAGGAAACAACAUCUUAACCUUAUAAUGAAAUAUUAUUCAGAGACAUCUGUUUGUAAAUCUGUCAAUAUAGGCUGGGAAGGUGGCGUUUUAGUACAAUCUUGUGGCCAUUACCUUCACCUGGAUUGCCAUAAGCAGUACUUAGAAUCAUUAAAGGGGCCAUAUCUCCAACAGACUCUGGCUGUGAACGAUGGAGAGUACUGGUGUCCUGUGUGCCGUCAGCUUGCAAAUGCUGUCAUUCCUAUAAUUCCUAACGACAGGAAACCAACACCAAUUCCUCCACCAACGGAUGCUAACAAUCUGCAGAAAAUGGCACAAGACAUUGAACAGUUACUGCAACAACAGGCACAAGCCAGUUUGUUUCUAGCCCAGAAGUGUUCUUUGAUCGAUGAAUUAACCAAUGCCACUCACCCCAUGUACAGGAAAUACUGUGAUGACAAUUCAGCCAACAUCUGGCUCUUCACUUGUUCCAUUAUCAGAACUAAUUUGGAAUUGGAACUUCUAGGCUAUGGUGGUCAGUUAUUUACCAGGGAGUCACCUUCAAGUAAACCUAAAGUUUUCAUGCCACUUUUCCGUAUGUUGAGUUAUUCCUGCAAAACCUUACCUCCAGUGCCCCAGACUGAUCUUUGGAAAUUAAUUACAGGUGUGGCUGUGAUAGGAGAUAGUAGCUCUUCAUUUUCAAGUGUUCCUGGUCAAGUGCCUAUUUUGCUGAGAGACCCUGUGGCUCUGCUUUUGAAUUUCUUACUUCAGUUGCCAGAAGUCAGUAAACAGCAUUUCAGUUAUGUGGUGAACUCUCUGUAUAACAUGGCCUAUAUCCAAGCGAUGGUGGUGACCAGCCUGAAGUUGACUUCUAAUGAAAGAGUAGCUUGGUGUAAAAAACGCAUGAGUGAUUCCUUGCAAGAAGUCAGUGGAAUGAUGAGUCAUGUCAUUACACGACUGCAACUCAGUCAACUGUACGAUGAGAAAGAUCAGCAACUUGGGUGUAUAUCGCAGUGGAUCUGGAGUCCAGACAGUAUAGAAAAUGUUUUACAGUCAUAUUUGCUUCCUUAUUUAAGAAUUGCUGCACUCUUACAGCGACAUUUAUUUGAUGAAGAAUUCCCACAGAAAAAGUAUCCAUCUGAAUUUACCUACCUCUGCCACUACCUCAUGUUAGGUGGAAAGUCUUGUGAUAGCCAGCCAAGCGCAUCUGUUGAUACUCAAUCAGGAUUAUCUAUUCCUCGCAAAAUAGAAGAAACUCAACGAACUGAACAUUUUGUUCAAUUCUGUGUACCUGAGAUUUUACCAAUCACCCGGUUCUGGCUACAUGAAUUAGCUACAGCAAUUGAUGGACCUCCUUCUCUCAAGAAUCAAGUAUGUCACCCCAAAUCACACUCAUGUCUUCAACUCAUACAUAGAUGCAUUAAGUCAUACGAGUAUUUACUUCCUUCAAGUUUUUUUUUCCAUCCACCAAGGCUUGUGGAACUUCCUGAUCAAUACUACAAAAUAUUCCAGGAGUACCGCAACAAAACCUGUAUGAUUUGUAACAAAAUUCCUCGAGAUCCAACGAUAUGUUUAAUAUGUGCAGAGUUUCUCUGCUUCCGAGAAGCUUGCUGUGAACAUGAAUCAGUUCGAGAAUGUGUACAGCAUUCAAUAACUUGUGGGGCUGGAACGGGUGUGUUUCUGUUGGUAAACUCAAGCAUAGUAGUUGUGAUCCGUGGCCAGAGAGCAGCACUUUGGGGAUCAGUCUAUCUCGACAAACAUGGUGAGGAAGAUGAAGAACUGAGACGUGGAAAGCCUCUCUACCUAAGUGAAGAACGUUAUCAGCUAUUGGAGCAGCAAUGGCGUACACACAAUUUUGACCAUGCCUGCAAACAGUGGAUCUGGCACAAGAAUAACUUAUGACCUGGACUUAAACUGCUCUAGCAGUUGCUGCCUUUGCUCACCAUUAUAAUAAUAAUAACAAUGAUGAUGAUCACCAAAAGACAAGCGCAACAGCAGCAGUAGCAGCCACCACCACCUCCACCACAACAACAACAGCAAAUAUACCACUGAAUUUCUUUGAACUUGUAUUCUAGCCAAACUGUAUAUUAAAUCUAUUAAAAGAACAAAAAAUAUUGUUUCUUCUUCACAAUAAAAUAUAUAAUAAUAAUAAUACUAAUAGAGAUGAAA